rnacentral:rRNA from 1 species
GAAACUACUGCUAAGACUGGAUAGGAGACAAGAAGGCAUCUUCUUGUUUUUAAAAGACCUAGUAAUAGGUAUGCUUAGGGAGGAGCUUGCGUCACAUUAGUUAGUUGGUGGGGUAAAGGCCUACCAAGACUAUGAUGUGUAGCCGGGCUGAGAGGUUGAACGGCCACAUUGGGACUGAGACACGGCCCAAACUCCUACGGGAGGCAGCAGUAGGGAAUUUUCGGCAAUGGAGGAAACUCUGACCGAGCAACGCCGCGUGAACGAUGAAGUAUUUCGGUACGUAAAGUUCUUUUAUUAGGGAAGAAUAAAUGAUGGAAAAAUCAUUCUGACGGUACCUAAUGAAUAAGCCCCGGCUAACUAUGUGCCAGCAGCCGCGGUAAUACAUAGGGGGCAAGCGUUAUCCGGAAUUAUUGGGCGUAAAGGGUGCGUAGGCGGUUAAAUAAGUUUAUGGUCUAAGUGCAAUGCUCAACAUUGUGAUGCUAUAAAAACUGUUUAGCUAGAGUAAGAUAGAGGCAAGUGGAAUUCCAUGUGUAGUGGUAAAAUGCGUAAAUAUAUGGAGGAACACCAGUAGCGAAGGCGGCUUGCUGGGUCUUUACUGACGCUGAGGCACGAAAGCGUGGGGAGCAAACAGGAUUAGAUACCCUGGUAGUCCACGCCGUAAACGAUGAGUACUAAACGUUGGGUAAAACCAGUGUUGAAGUUAACACAUUAAGUACUCCGCCUGAGUAGUACGUACGCAAGUAUGAAACUUAAAGGAAUUGACGGGACUCCGCACAAGCGGUGGAUCAUGUUGUUUAAUUCGAAGGUACCCGAAAAACCUCACCAGGUCUUGACAUGCUUCUGCAAAGCUGUAGAAACACAGUGGAGGUUAUCAGUUGCACAGGUGGUGCAUGGUUGUCGUCAGCUCGUGUCGUGAGAUGUUGGGUUAAGUCCCGCAACGAGCGCAACCCUUAUUGUUAGUUACCAGCACGUAAUGGUGGGGACUUUAGCAAGACUGCCAGUGAUAAAUUGGAGGAAGGUGGGGACGACGUCAAAUCAUCAUGCCCCUUAUGACCUGGGCUACAAACGUGAUACAAUGGCUGUUACAAAGGGUAGCUGAAGCGCAAGUUUUUGGCGAAUCUCAAAAAAACAGUCUCAGUUCGGAUUGAAGUCUGCAACUCGACUUCAUGAAGUUGGAAUCGCUAGUAAUCGCGAAUCAGCAUGUCGCGGUGAAUACGUUCUCGGGGUUUGUACACACCGCCCGU